rnacentral:rRNA from 1 species
UGACAUUGAACUUUGAUCUUACUUGUGUAGGAUAGGUGGGAGGCUUUGAAACCGAGACGCUAGUUUCGGUGGAGCCAAUCUUGAAAUACCACCCUGGUAAUAUUGAGGUUCUAACUCUGUCCCGUUAUCCGGGACGAGGACCAUGUCUGGUGGGUAGUUUGACUGGGGCGGUCUCCUCCCAAAGAGUAACGGAGGAGCACGAAGGUUGGCUAAGUACGGUCGGACAUCGUACGGUUAGUGUAAUGGUAGAAGCCAGCUUAACUGCGAGACAGACACGUCGAGCAGGUACGAAAGUAGGUCAUAGUGAUCCGGUGGUUCUGAAUGGAAGGGCCAUCGCUCAACGGAUAAAAGGUACUCCGGGGAUAACAGGCUGAUACCGCCCAAGAGUUCACAUCGACGGCGGUGUUUGGCACCUCGAUGUCGGCUCAUCACAUCCUGGG